UGAAGAGCUGAUUAAGGUUCACCCUGCACAGCUGGAAGUCUUCUCUCAUUUACUCACAGGACUGCGCUUGUCCCCACAUUCUCAAAUAUCGAGAAAAUAAGAUUACCUACAUCUAAUCUACACUACAUAACGUGACAGCGCCCCAAGGCCGGACUAGUCUCCGCCUCCCAGCCCUCCCCAUCUGGCACUUCACGGUCACCGCAGCUACCCGGACACUCCCGGACCUCCGGGUCCUAGGCACCUCGAGGUGUCAGCGCAGCUCUGCGCUACACCGGUCGCCCCAAGCGACAACCACAAGGCUCCGUGUGGGAGUGAGACCCGGCCUCCACCAGCCCAGGGACCAGGAAGUGGCAGUGGUAGUCUGUGGGCUAGCAUUCCCCCUGGGUAGGUGUAUGAAAGCUGCAAACAAGGUUGCAUCAGGAGACCUUUCAGGAAGACCUGCCAUAGCUUUCUCCUCUGCUGCUAAUUUGAAGCAAGAGUCCUUUGCUCCCAGAAUCAGACUGCACUCAGCUGCCAACUCCAGCUAGAAUGAAGCAGACCAUUCCUGGAAAAAAAAAUUUUUUUUCAACCCUCCUUCUGUUCCUUGAAAGGAAAAUUUCCAACUUCAUAUGGAAA
rnacentral:lncRNA from 1 species